AAAGAUGUAAAGGAAGCAGUCAUCCCUGUGGUGUUUGUGGAGAGGUUUUCCUUCAGAAAUGGAGAAGACAAAAAGCUGCGGAGGCAGACAUUUGCAGCAGAUUGUUUGCAGAUAAUGCUGUUCAAGCUCAACAGCUCUUUUAAGAGCCAACCCUCACAAACCUUCCUAAAAACUAAAAGAGCUGUUACUGAGUCUCAGCGAAUCUUGCCAUGAUCAGCUCUUCCCAGAGAAGGAAGACCAAGGAAAUGAUUUGCUCAUGAGGAAUGAAGACGGCCAUCUUGAGCCCAAACAAAGACAGAAGUCCUCUGAUGAUCUCAUCAGCCAAAUGAGGGGUUUUGACCAAGUGAUGCUCUUGAAAGGACUGAAAGAAGAGGAUGUGGUAAAUUGUCUUCAGAGAAAAACCUUCUCAAAAGGUCUCAAAACAGCUUGAAGAAUGGUCUGGGAUCUUAGGACUGAGAGAUCCUCUGGCUGAGAGAAGCUACACCACAUCAGUGCUGGAUAUCAACCACAAACAGUUUCCAGACACGAGAGAAGAAGAUCACGAUGGGGAGAUGAAACCAGUUUAGAUGUGAUGAUGGGAAUCAUUAUUUUCUGGAACAGUAUCACAUGUCUUAUAUGCAUCACAUGAUCUGUAUCACAGUUGACU